AAUCAACGCUGGCGGCGUGCCUAACACAUGCAAGUCGAACGCGAAAGUCCCGCAAGGGAUGAGUAGAGUGGCAAACGGGUGAGUAACACGUGGGUGACCUGCCUUCGAGCGGGGGAUAACGUCCCGAAAGGGACGCUAAUACCGCAUGACAUCCUGCCUUUGAAGAGGUGGAGAUCAAAGCUGGGGAUCGCAAGACCUAGCACUUGAAGAGGGGCCCGCGUCUGAUUAGCUAGUUGGUGGGGUAACGCUCACCAAGGCAACGAUCAGUAUCCGGCCU
rnacentral:rRNA from 1 species